AAAAUGGAGAGUUUGAUCCUGGCUCAGGAUGAACGCUGGCGGUAUGCUUAACACAUGCAAGUCGAACGGUCUCUUCGGAGAUAGUGGCGGACGGGUGAGUAACGCGUGAGAAUCUAGCUUCAGGUCGGGGACAACCACUGGAAACGGUGGCUAAUACCGGAUGUGCCGAGAGGUAAAAGGCUUGCUGCCUGAAGAUGAGCUCGCGUCUGAUUAGCUAGUAGGUGUGGUAAGAGCGCACCUAGGCGACGAUCAGUAGCUGGUCUGAGAGGAUGAUCAGCCACACUGGGACUGAGACACGGCUCCAGACUCCUACGGGAGGCAGCAGUGGGGAAUUUUCCGCAAUGGGCGAAAGCCUGACGGAGCAAUACCGCGUGAGGGAGGAAGGCUCUUGGGUUGUAAACCUCUUUUCUCAAGGAAGAAAAAAAUGACGGUACUUGAGGAAUAAGCAUCGGCUAACUCCGUGCCAGCAGCCGCGGUAAUACGGAGGAUGCAAGCGUUAUCCGGAAUGAUUGGGCGUAAAGCGUCCGCAGGUGGCAAUGUAAGUCUGCUGUUAAAGAGUGAGGCUCAACCUCAUAAGAGCAGUGGAAACUACAUAGCUAGAGUGCGUUCGGGGCAGAGGGAAUUCCUGGUGUAGCGGUGAAAUGCGUAGAGAUCAGGAAGAACAUCGGUGGCGAAAGCGCUCUGCUAGGCCGCAACUGACACUGAGGGACGAAAGCUAGGGGAGCGAAUGGGAUUAGAUACCCCAGUAGUCCUAGCCGUAAACGAUGGAUACUAGGCGUGGCUUGUAUCGACCCGAGCCGUGCCGGAGCUAACGCGUUAAGUAUCCCGCCUGGGGAGUACGCACGCAAGUGUGAAACUCAAAGGAAUUGACGGGGGCCCGCACAAGCGGUGGAGUAUGUGGUUUAAUUCGAUGCAACGCGAAGAACCUUACCAAGACUUGACAUGUCGCGAAUCCUCUUGAAAGGGAGGAGUGCCUUCGGGAGCGCGAACACAGGUGGUGCAUGGCUGUCGUCAGCUCGUGUCGUGAGAUGUUGGGUUAAGUCCCGCAACGAGCGCAACCCUCGUUUUUAGUUGCCAGCAUUAAGUUGGGCACUCUAGAGAGACUGCGGUGACAAACCGGAGGAAGGUGGGGAUGACGUCAAGUCAGCAUGCCCCUUACGUCUUGGGCUACACACGUACUACAAUGCUACGGACAAAGGGCAGCGAGCUAGCGAUAGCAAGCAAAUCUCAUAAACCGUGGCUCAGUUCAGAUCGCAGGCUGCAACUCGCCUGCGUGAAGGAGGAAUCGCUAGUAAUUGCAGGUCAGCAUACUGCAGUGAAUUCGUUCCCGGGCCUUGUACACACCGCCCGUCACACCAUGGAAGCUGGCAACGCCCGAAGUCAUUACUCCAACCAUUCGUGGGGGAGGAUGCCGAAGGCAGUGCUGGUGACUGGGGUGAAGUCGUAACAAGGUAGCCGUACCGGAAGGUGUGGCUGGAUCACCUCCUUU
rnacentral:rRNA from 1 species